AUGGCCGGCGGCGAUGGUGCCGCCACCGCGGGGGCGGCGGCGGAGGCGGGGAUGGGCCUCGACAUCUCGCGCGCGGGCGGGUUGCCCAGCUUCGAGUUCGCGUUCAAUUCAGAGAGCUUCUCCGACCGGGUGCUGCGGCUGGAGGUCGUCGCCAGCGACGGCGUCGCCGGAGGAUCCCUCCCCGACUUGGCGUUCCACUGCGACGAGCUCCACAAGGAGGAAGCAGAUAGAAAAAGUAUUGACUCUUCUUGGACCAUUGUGCCCGUGCCAGUUUUACGAGUGAAGACCAUUUACAUCAAUUCGUUGGUUCUCGCUGCAAAUAGUCCAUUCUUUCUUAAGCUUUUCUCAAAUGGCAUGAAAGAGUCUGAUCAGAGGCAUCUAACACUCCGAAUUGCUGAUUCGGGAACGGAGGAAACUGUCAUGAUGGAGAUUUUGAGCUUUAUGUACACUGGAAAGUUGACAACAACUGAGCCCAAUCUUCUGCUCGACAUCUUGAUGGCCGCUGAUAAAUUUGAGGUUCUUGCUUGCAUGAGGCAUUGUAGCCAGUUACUCACAAACUUGCCUAUGACCAGAGAGUCUGCGUUGCUCUACCUAGAUUACCCAUGCUCCACUUCAGUGGCUGCUGAAAUUCGGCAUCUGACAGAUGCAGCCAAGGAAUUCCUCGCCGGCAAAUACAAGGUUUUCGCCAAGUUCUCUGAUGAAUUGAUGGACAUGCCUCUUGCUGGUAUUGAAGCCAUCUUUUCUAGUACUGACCUACAGAUAAGAUCUGAAGAUACCGUAUAUAGCUUUCUGCUUGAGUGGGCAUGCAAGCAAUACCCAGAAACAGAGGAAGGGCAGAAGAUAUGGAGUUCUCGUUUACUUCCGCUGGUGCGCUUCAGUCAUAUGACUUGGAGUAAAACUCCAUAA
rnacentral:rRNA from 1 species